rnacentral:rRNA from 1 species
AGCGAACGCUGGCGGCAGGCUUAACACAUGCAAGUCGAGCGGGCAUCUUCGGGUGUCAGCGGCGGACGGGUGAGUAACGCGUGGGAACGUGCCCUCUGGUUCGGAAUAACUCAGGGAAACUUGAGCUAAUACCGGAUACGCCCUUUUGGGGAAAGGCUUGCUGCCGGAGGAUCGGCCCGCGUCUGAUUAGCUAGUUGGUGAGGUAACGGCCCACAAGGCGACGAUCAGUAGCUGGUCUGAGAGGAUGAUCAGCCACACUGGGACUGAGACACGGCCCAG